rnacentral:rRNA from 1 species
AUACGGAGGAUCCGAGCGUUAUCCGGAUUUAUUGGGUUUAAAGGGUGCGCAGGCGGCCAUUUAAGUCAGCGGUUAAAUCGUGGGGCUCAACCCCAUUCUGCCGUUGAUACUGGGUGGCUUGAUUGCGGUCGAGGUUGGCGGAAUUCGUUGUGUAGCGGUGAAAUGCAUAGAUAUGACGAAGAACACCGAUUGCGUAGGCAGCUGACCAGACCGCAAAUGACGCUCAUGCACGAAAGUGCGGGGAUCGAACAGGAUUAGAUACCCUGGUAGUCCGCACAGUAAACGAUGAAUACUUGUUUUCGGCGAUAUAAUGUCGGAGGCAAAGCGAAAGCGAUAAGUAUUACACCUGGGGAGUACGCCGGCAACGGUGAAACUCAAAUGAAUUGGCGGGG